AGCGAACGCUGGCGGCGUGCCUAACACAUGCAAGUCGAACGUGAAAGGGAGCAAUCCCAGGUGAAGUGGCGUACGGGUGAGUAACACGUAGGUAAUCUACCCCAGAAUCUGGAAUAACCGACCUAAAGGCUGGCUAAUACAAUAUAGGGCAACGGAAUCCGCAAUUUGGUUGUUCGGGGAAGGUUUCGUGUAAAGGGGCCUGAGUUCUGGGAUGACCGUGCGUCCCAUCAGCUAGUGGGUGAGGAAAAAGCGUAGGAAGGCAAUGACGGGUAGGUGGACUGCGAGGACGAGUAGCCACACUGGAACUGAAACACGGUCCAGACUCCUACGGGAGGCAGCAGUGGGGAAUCUUGCGCAAUGGACGAAAGUCUGACGCAGCAACGCCGCGUGAGUGAAGAAGGCCUUCGGGUUGGAAAGCUCGGUCGAGUGGGACGAAAAUGCUUGGAGUUGACAGCUACAGGAACUGACGGUACCAGUAAAGGAAGCACCGGCUAACUCCGUG
rnacentral:rRNA from 1 species